rnacentral:rRNA from 1 species
ACAGCACUCUGCAAACACGAAAGUGGACGUAUAGGGUGUGACGCCUGCCCGGUGCUGGAAGAUUAAAUGAUGGGGUGCAAGCUCUUGAUUGAAGUCCCAGUAAACGGCGGCCGUAACUAUAACGGUCCUAAGGUAGCGAAAUUCCUUGUCGGGUAAGUUCCGACCUGCACGAAUGGCGUAACGAUGGCCACACUGUCUCCUCCUGAGACUCAGCGAAGUUGAAAUGUUUGUGAAGAUGCAAUCUACCCGUGGCUAGACGGAAAGACCCCAUGAACCUUUACUGUAGCUUUGCAUUGGACUUUGAUGAAAUCUGUGUAGGAUAGCUGGGAGGCUAUGAAGUGGGAACGCCAGUUCUCAUGGAGCCAACCUUGAAAUACCAGCCUGAUGUCAUUGAGGUUCUAACCUAGACCCCUAAUCGGGGUUGGGGACCGUGCAUGGUAGGCAGUUUGACUGGGGCGGUCUCCUCCCAAAUUGUAACGGAGGAGUACGAAGGUAUCCUAGGUACGGUCGGACAUCGUACUGAUAGUGCAAUGGCAAAAGGAUGCUUGACUGCGAGACUGACAAGUCGAGCAGGUGCGAAAGCAGGUCAUAGUGAUCCGGUGGUUCUGUAUGGAAGGGCCAUCGCUCAACGGAUAAAAGGUACUCUGGGGAUAACAGGCUGAUUCCUCCCAAGAGUUCAUAUCGACGGGGGAGUUUGGCACCUCGAUGUCGGCUCAUCACAUCCUGGGGCUGUAGCCGGUCCCAAGGGUAUGGCUGUUCGCCAUUUAAAGUGGUACGUGAGCUGGGUUUAAAACGUCGUGAGACAGUUUGGUCCCUAUCUGCCAUGGGCGUUGGAAAUUUGAAGGGACCUGCUCCUAGUACGAGAGGACCGGAGUGGACGGAUCUCUGGUGUACCGGUUGUCACGCCAGUGGCAUCGCCGGGUAGCUAUAUCCGGAAGAGAUAACCGCUGAAAGCAUCUAAGCGGGAAACUCGCCUUGAGAUAAGAUUUCCCUCAGGCUUUAAGCCUGCUAAAGAGUCGUUCGAGACCAGGACGUUGAUAGGCUGGGUGUGGAAGCGCAGCAAUGCGUUAAGCUAACCAGUACUAAUUGCUCGUGAGGCUUGAUCCU